GGGCGUGUCAUCUAAUGGGAAGAUUCUGUCCUCGCAAGGCAGCCAUGAGGGUUCGACUCCCUCCUCGUCCACCA
rnacentral:tRNA from 1 species